rnacentral:rRNA from 1 species
UACGGGGGGGCAAGCGUUGUUCGGAAUUACUGGGCGUAAAGGGCUCGUAGGCGGCCAACUAAGUCAUACGUGAAAUCCCUCGGCUUAACCGGGGAACUGCGCCUGAUACUGGAUGGCUUGAGUUCGGGAGAGGGAUGCGGAAUUCCCAGUGUAGAGGUGAAAUUCGUAGAUAUUGGGAAGAACACCGGUGGCGAAGGCGGCUCUCUGGACCGAGACUGACGCUGAGGCGCGAAAGCGUGGGGAGCAAACAGG